rnacentral:rRNA from 1 species
AUUGAACGCUGGCGGCAGGCUUAACACAUGCAAGUCGAACGAGUGGCGGACGGGUGAGUAAUGCUUGGGAAUCUGGCUUAUGGAGGGGUAUAACUACGGGAAACUGUAGCUAAUACCGCAUACCCACGUAUGAGCCCACGUGGGAUUAGGUAGUUGGUGAGGUAAAGGCUCACCAAGCCGACGAUCCCUAGCUGGUCUGAGAGGAUGACCAGCCACACUGGGACUGAGACACGGCCCAGACUCCUACGUGAGGCAGCAGUGGGGAAUAUUGCGCAAUGGGGGCAAGCUGAUGCAGCCAUGCCGCGUGAAUGAAGAAGGCCUUCGGGUUGUAAAGUUCUUUCGGUAGCGAGGCGUUAACUACAGAAGAAGCACCGGCUAACUCCGUGCCAGCAGCCGCGGUAAUUC